UAACUGCGAGUGAAGCGGGAAGAGCUCAAAUUUGUAAUCUGGCGGUCUCUGGCCGUCCGAGUUGUAAUCUGUAGAGGCGUCGUCCGCGUCGGCCCGUGUACAAGUCUCCUGGGAUGGAGCGUCAUAGAGGGUGAGAAUCCCGUCCAUGACAUGGACCACCGAUGCUUUGUGAGGUGCCCUCGAAGAGUCGCGUUGUUUGGGAAUGCAGCGCAAAAUGGGUGGUAAAUUCCAUCUAAGGCUAAAUAUUGGCGAGAGACCGAUAGCGAACAAGUACCGUGAGGGAAAGAUGAAAAGCACUUUGGAAAGAGAGUUAAACAGUACGUGAAAUUGUUGAAAGGGAAACGCUUGAAGUCAGUCGCGUCCCGUGGCACUCAGCCUUGCUUCGGCUUGGUGUACUUGCCUUGGGACGGGUCAACAUCAAUUUUGGCCGGUGGACAAGGGUGAGGGGAAUGUAGCGUUGUUUCGGCGACGUGUUAUAGCCCCUUGUCGAAUACACCGGCUGGGAUUGAGGACCGCAGCACGCCCUUGUGGCCGGGGGUUCGCCCCAUGUAACGUGCUUAGGAUGUUGGCAUAAUGGCUUUAAGCGACCCGUCUUGAAACACGGACCAAGGAGUCUAACAUGCUUGCGAGUGUUCGGGUGGAAAACCCUUGCGCGUAAUGAAAGUGAAAGUUGGGAGCCUCCGUGAGGGGGUGCACCGACGCCUGGCCCUGACGUUCUCUGACGGUGCUGCGGUAGAGCAAGUAUGUUGGGACCCGAAAGAUGGUGAACUAUGCCUGAAUAGGGCGAAGCCAGAGGAAACUCUGGUGGAGGCUCGUAGCGAUUCUGACGUGCAAAUCGAUCGUCAAAUUUGGG
rnacentral:rRNA from 1 species